rnacentral:lncRNA from 1 species
GAACUAAACACAACUAAACUAGAGCAACAAUAGCUAAGCAAGCAAAAUUGUCAACGGCAGAAACAAGACAAAGCUAAAAUGAAACUAACUACGGGAGAGGAAGGCUAGUAUAAGAGAUUUAUGAAGAGGAAGGGAGUUAGUCGAGGAUAUAAUGUGAUAGAGGGAAUUAUAAUCCGAGCAUAAAACCCUAAAGGGCAUACACAUGAGCCGUAUUCUAAAAUCGGAGAACAAGCGAGAUAUAGAGAGUCUUCGUUAGGG